AUUAUAACAUCUAUUUAUAGCAAGGAAGUCCUUUUCUUGUGAUCAAACCUCUUUGUGAAAUGUUUGUUUCAGGAUCCAUAAGUUGUAACUGGUUCUCAUGAUACAACGAUAAAGUUCUGGGAUCUUAGAUUUGGUAAAACGAUGACAACCUUUACACACCAUAAAAAAUUUGUGUGAGCAAUGGCUUUAAAUCCCAAAGAGUAUGUAUCUAUAAAUAUAAUUUGUUCCUUUGUGAGGCCCUCCAGCUAUGGUUGAUGUAAAAUGCUUCAAUAAUUAUGUUUUCUGAUUU